rnacentral:lncRNA from 1 species
AAAUACAUAAUGUUACCUGUAUGUGUACAGUUUGGAUGCCGUGUGCGUAAAUGACAAGGAACUUAGGUGAAUUUUCUUAGGGAGUGAGUCGGUAGUGUGAAAUUCCUGUUCCUCCACUGCCAUCAUUCCUGCCCACCCUGUCCUACCUUCCAAGCUACUCAAACAGUUUCCAGCGGCCAGAAGGAACAGUUAGAGAAAAGUGGGGAGAUAUUACAGGGGCUAAGUACACAGGGGACAUGAGACACUUCUAAAACAUCAAACACUAAUUCCGGGUUUCUGAUCAUCAUAAGACCUAAUCAGAUGUAACCAGUCUGCAGCUUCGUGCUUGAAGCGGUGUGUGA